rnacentral:tRNA from 1 species
GCACCUGUAGCUUAACGGUCAAUGAGGUGCCGAGUGCGAAGCGGUGGAAGCCCCGAGUGCCUGAUCGUAUCUAACCAGGGCAUCAAUAUCGAUUAGGGGCCUGGGAGGGAAGCCGUGGAGUCAAGGAGCCUCAAAAAGCGCCGGCUUUGGGGGCCGGAGAUUGCGGGUUCGAAUCCCGUCAGGUGCA